GCACCUUAGAGACCAACUAAGUUUGUUCUUGGUAUGAGCUUUCGUGUGCAUGCACAAUUCUUCAUGCUAUCAAAUGCCAACAGUGCCCUUCACGAAAGCUCAUACCAAGAACAAACUUAGUUGGUCUCUAAGGUGC